rnacentral:rRNA from 1 species
UACGAACUGUGCAAACGUUAUUCGGAAUCACUGGGCUUAAAGGGUGCGUAGGCGGCUUAUCAAGUAGGGUGUGAAAGCCCCCGGCUUAACCGGGGAAUUGCGCCCUAAACUGACGAGCUAGAGUGGGACAGGGGUGUGUGGAACUUCCGGUGGAGCGGUGAAAUGUGUUGAUAUCGGAAGGAACGCCGGUGGCGAAAGCGACACACUGGGUCUCAACUGACGCUGAGGCACGAAAGCCAGGGGAGCGAAC